ACCUCUCCUUAUCACCCACCCAUCCAUCCAUCCACAGACCUCUCUCCCCAGUGUCACGGAGCUGGGGAGUCACUGGGCUUCCCAGUACCUGAGCAGAAGGCUUCCUCCUGCCGGCCACCCCAUCUCCCCAGAUUCCCUGCCCAGGACCAAGCUAGAUGAGGCCUCAAGUUAGAGAUGUCCCCACGGUCCAGAGCAGCCACUGACAGCUAUCUUUUAGACACAUUCCUUACUCAGAGUCCUUUCUAAGCCACCGACCAAGUCCCAAGAGAAGCUCGCCACCUCCUUCCACACCUUGUAGAGAGACAGGGCAGUGCAGUCUGGUCCCUCAUUUCCUCAUCUGUGAAAUGAGAUGAAGAGAAGCCACAGUCUCCUCCUGGAGGAGACAGAUGCAGAGGAAAUGCCUGCUGAUGCCCAGAGAGGUUGGAUAACAUUGCCAAAGCCACACAGAGGACUAAAGAGAGAGGCUGGAGCAGGAAGACUGGGUGCAGAAGCAUUCGGACACAUAAAUUAGGUCAGCCGCCGGGGACGAGG
rnacentral:lncRNA from 1 species